rnacentral:lncRNA from 1 species
UUUAAACACAAGGUUUAUGACCAUAAAAGAAAGGUUGGUAUUGAUUUUGGGAGUUUUGGUCCCAACAUAAUAAGGGGCCCAAAGGGUCCAAAAUUAAACUUUGUUUGAUUUCAUCAAAAUUGAAUAAUUGGGGUUCUUUGAUAUGCCGCAUCUAACUGUCAUGACUGUGUAUGUAGAUUCUUAAAUUUUUGGUCCCGUUUUCAAAUUG